GAUGAAGAACGUAGCGAAAUGCGAUAAGUAGUGUGAAUUGCAGAAUUCAGUGAAUCAUCGAAUCUUUGAACGCACAUUGCGGCCAUAGGUAUUCCUUUGGCCAUGCCUGUUCGAGCGUCAUUUACACCCUCAAGCCUAGCUUGGUGUUGGGCGUCUGUCCCGCCGUUUUCGCGCGCGGACUCGCCUCAAAGUCAUUGGCGGCGGUCGUGCCGGCCCCCUCGCGCAGCACAUUUGCGCGUCUCGGAGGCCCGGCGGAUCCGCGCUCCAGCAAGACCUUUCACGACUUGACCUCGGAUCAGGUAGGGAUACCCGCUGAACUUAAGCAUAUCAAUAAGCGGAGGA
rnacentral:misc_RNA from 1 species